rnacentral:rRNA from 1 species
UUGGCCUACGGGAGGCAGCAGUGAGGAAUAUUGGUCAAUGGGCGAGAGCCUGAACCAGCCAAGUCGCGUGAGGGAGUACUGCCCUAUGGGUUGUAAACCUCUUUUGUCGGGGAGCAAAAGCCGGACGUGUCCGGCUGUGAGAGUACCCGAAGAAAAAGCAUCGGCUAACUCCGUGCCAGCAGCCGCGGUAAUACGUAGGUGGCAAGCGUUGUCCGGAUUUAUUGGGCGUAAAGCGAGUGCAGGCGGUUCAAUAAGUCUG